rnacentral:rRNA from 1 species
UACGAAGGGGGCUAGCGUUGCUCGGAAUCACUGGGCGUAAAGGGUGCGUAGGCGGGUCUUUAAGUCAGAGGUGAAAUCCUGGAGCUCAACUCCAGAACUGCCUUUGAUACUGAGGAUCUUGAGCUCGGGAGAGGUGAGUGGAACUGCGAGUGUAGAGGUGAAAUUCGUAGAUAUUCGCAAGAACACCAGUGGCGAAGGCGGCUCACUGGCCCGAUACUGACGCUGAGGCACGAAAGCGUGGGGAGCAAACAGG